GCGUAUCCUCCCACCGAUCUUACUUAUCUAGCCAAUUAAAUGAUUGGGUUCAUUAGUUGCUAAGAUGUUUUGAUUUAGUCCAUGCCAAUUAGAUCGAUCAUUUGAUGACUGAUUAGAUGAGACCUGACCUAAAUCUCUCCAAUCAAUAUUAAGCCUUAUGAUCUUCCAUCGUUGUAGAAGUGUGGGUAUGCUACUGGCGUUGACUGUUCUCGACUGAUUAUAGUGGUUCAGUUGCAUCAGAAACACACAAUCACUCUACUAGCG
rnacentral:lncRNA from 1 species